UGGGGAAUAUUGCACAAUGGGCGCAAGCCUGAUGCAGCCAUGCCGCGUGUAUGAAGAAGGCCUUCGGGUUGUAAAGUACUUUCAGCGGGGAGGAAGGGAGUAAAGUUAAUACCUUUGCUCAUUGACGUUACCCGCAGAAGAAGCACCGGCUAACUCCGUGCCAGCAGCCGCGGUAAUACGGAGGGUGCAAGCGUUAAUCGGAAUUACUGGGCGUAAAGCGCACGCAGGCGGUUUGUUAAGUCAGAUGUGAAAUCCUCGGGCUCAACCUGGGAACUGCAUCUGAUACUGGCAAGCUUGAGUCUCGUAGAGGGGGGUAGAAUUCCAGGUGUAGCGGUGAAAUGCGUAGAGAUCUGGAGGAAUACCGGUGGCGAACGCGGCCCCCUGGACAAAGACUGACGCUCAGGUGCGAAAGCGUGGGGAGCAAACAGG
rnacentral:rRNA from 1 species